rnacentral:rRNA from 1 species
CCGGAUGUUAGCGGCGGACGGGUGAGUAACACGUGGGUAACCUGCCUGUAAGACUGGGAUAACUCCGGGAAACCGGAGCUAAUACCGGAUAGUUCCUUGAACCGCAUGGUUCAAGGAUGAAAGACGGUUUCGGCUGUCACUUACAGAUGGACCCGCGGCGCAUUAGCUAGUUGGUGAGGUAACGGCUCACCAAGGCGACGAUGCGUAGCCGACCUGAGAGGGUGAUCGGCCACACUGGGACUGAGACACGGCCCAGACUCCUACGGGAGGCAGCAGUAGGGAAUCUUCC